GCCUCCUUAGCUCAGCGGCAGAGCAGCGCCCUUGUAAAGCGCAGGUCGAGGUCUCGGUAUCCUCAGGAGGCU
rnacentral:tRNA from 1 species